GUUAGGAAUCUUCCACAAUGGGGGCAACCCUGAUGGAGCAACACCGCGUGCUGGAUGAAGGCCUUCGGGUCGUGAACAGCUUUUGUAUACGAAGAAUAUGACGGUAAUAUACGAAUAAGGGUCGGCUAACUACGUGCCAGCAGCCGCGGUCAUACGUAGGACCCAAGCGUUAUCCGGAGUGACUGGGCGUAAAGAGUUGCGUAGGCGGCUUAUUAAGCGAGUAGUGAAAUCUGGUGGCUCAACCAUCAACACAUUGCUCGAACUGAUAGGCUUGAGAAUGGUAGAGGUAGUUGGAAUUUCUUGUGUAGGAGUGAAAUCCGUAGAUAUAAGAAGGAACACCAAUGGCGUAGGCAGACUACUGGACCAUUUCUGACGCUGAGGCACGAAAGCGUGGGGAGCGAACCGGAUUAGAUACCCUAGUAGUCC
rnacentral:rRNA from 1 species